GAACUGAGCCUGUCAUAGUAGCCAUUCUCUCAAACUCUCCUUAUUUUCUUGAACUGAGCCUAUCAUAGUAGCCAAUUUUCUCAUGGCAAUGAAUUUGAGUAGUAUCUUGAUAAAGUAUGUAAUCAGGGGGAAAACAAUGGAAUUUAUUCUUUUAUGCCCCACCCCACCCUACUCCAUUAAUAUAGUAUCUUAUAUUUGGAUGGAUAACAAGCUGUUUGUGGCUCUGAUGUGGUGUUGUAACAAGUGAGGACAUUUCUUAAUACAUCUUUCGUUUGUUUCUUGUUAGACUUCCAUGAUACAUGGGCCUUAUUGGAUGCUCGAGUGAAAGAUGCUUUUGAUCUAAAGAAAACCAUUCAAGAGCUCCACCAAAUAUUGCUGGGAAUCAUUCUGAAAGAGGGAUAUUGAGCUCGGUUAUGUACUUGUUGGGCACAAGGUUGUAAGAAAAAGAUAAAAUACAGAAAAUAAGGGACCCUGACGUGAUCUUGAGACCACAGACCUGCUAUUAAUUUUGCAUUCCUUUUGUAAUUAUACAUGUAUUUUGCUUAGUUAGUGAAUUUCGGCUGGAUAGGAGGUUGAAGGGUUUUUUGUUACUGAAAAAACCUGGAAAGUUUUGUAUGAGGAUUAAUGUAUAAAACAAUUAUACCAAAAAAUGU